rnacentral:rRNA from 1 species
GACGAACGCUGGCGGCGUGCUUAACACGUGCAAGUCGAACGAUGACGACCGAGCUUGCUCGGUCUGAUUAGUGGCGAACGGGUGAGUAACACGUGAGCAACCUGCCCUUCACUCUGGGAUAACCUCGGGAAAUCGGGGCUAAUACCGGAUAUGAGCUCCUGUCGCAUGGCGGGUGUUGGAAAGUUUUUCGGUGAAGGAUGGGCUCGCGGCCUAUCAGUUUGUUGGUGAGGUAGUGGCUCACCAAGGCGAUGACGGGUAGCCGGCCUGAGAGGGCGACCGGCCACACUGGGACUGAGACACGGCCCAGACUCCUACGGGAGGCAGCAGUGGGGAAUAUUGCACAAUGGGCGAAAGCCUGAUGCAGCGACGCCGCGUGAGGGAUGACGGCCUUCGGGUUGUAAACCUCUUUCAGCAGGGAAGAAGCGAAAGUGACGGUACCUGCAGAAGAAGCGCCGGCUAACUACGUG